rnacentral:tRNA from 1 species
UUCGAAAUCGGGUGGACGUUACGGACUUAAAAUCCGUUGGCUUUAUUGACCGUGAGGGUUCAAGUCCCUCUACCCCCA